CCUACGGGGGGCUGCAGUGGGGAAUAUUGGACAAUGGGCGAAAGCCUGAUCCAGCGACGCCGCGUGAGUGAUGAAGGCCUUCGGGUUGUAAAGCUCUUUUAGCAGGGAAGAUAAUGACGGUACCUGCAGAAAAAGCUCCGGCUAACUUCGUGCCAGCAGCCGCGGUAAUACGAAGGGAGCUAGCGUUACUCGGAAUUAUUGGGCGUAAAGCGUGCGUAGGCGGUCUAGUAAGUCAGUUGUGAAAGCCUGGGGCUCAACCUCAGAAUUGCAAUUGA
rnacentral:rRNA from 1 species